CCUACGGGAGGCAGCAGUGGGGAAUAUUGGGCAAUGGAGGAAACUCUGACCCAGCGACGCCGCGUGCGGGAUGAAGGCCUUCGGGUUGUAAACCGCUUUCAGCAGGGAAGAAGCGAAAGUGACGGUACCUGCAGAAGAAGCACCGGCUAACUAUGUGCCAGCAGCCGCGGUAAUACAUAGGGUGCAAGCGUUGUCCGGAAUUAUUGGGCGUAAAGAGCUCGUAGGUGGUUCGUCACGUCGGAUGUGAAAAUCUGGGGCUUAACCCCAGACCUGCAUUCGAUACGGGCGAGCUUGAGUAUGGUAGGGGAGUCUGGAAUUCCUGGUGUAGCGGUGGAAUGCGCAGAUAUCAGGAGGAACACCAAUGGCGAAGGCAGGACUCUGGGCCAUUACUGACACUGAGGAGCGAAAGCGUGGGGAGCGAACAGGAUUAGAUACCCUGGUAGUCCACGCCGUAAACGGUGGGCACUAGUUGUGGGGACCUUCCACGGUCUCUGCGACGCAGCUAACGCAUUAAGUGCCCCGCCUGGGGAUACGNUCGNAGAUUAAACNAAUGAGUUGACGNGUGAGACGCGCCGACGACGACGACGAGGGAGAGG
rnacentral:rRNA from 1 species